AGUUCGCCUCCCCCCCUCCCCCCACACACGUACACACACGCACACAUUCACAGAUAUGGCCGCGUCUUUGUCCUUUCCCCGGAAGGAAGGCAUGCAGUCCACCAUGAUGACAGUGCGACGCCACACGACAGCGGAGCUGAUACGGUGUGCGUAUGUGUAUGUAUGCGUAUAGGAGGAGCAGAGGCCAUGCCGACGCACCGCCGGCAGCAAACACACAGGCAUGCAAGCUACACAAGGCAACAGCGGCAAACGGGCAAGCACAAGCAGCAAUACAACAAGGACAACGAUAGCAGGACUUUGUCGCUGGAACAGAGCUAGGGAAGGUGCGAGGGGGGGGGGUAGUCAUUCUGGCGGCCUUCGUCCCUCGCGUAUCAGCUGCGAAGAGGGUGGGCAGUGGGUACGCAGGUGCAGUCACGAUGGCGGAGAGGCAAGGAUAAUGGUCGGGGAGGAGGAUGGGGGAGGGAUCGAUGCACGCGUGCCUGUGCGCGUACGCUCUCUCGCACCACUACAUCGAGGCGGCUCCUCAUCUCUUCUCUUGCUCCCAUACGCAUUUUCGGCCUGACGACGUAUCCUUUUCGUCGAACGGAACCCACGCGUGAGACCGGGCCCCGUGUACGCACGACUGUUGCCACACGAACGCACCUCAGAAAAAAAAACGAAGAAUAAGAAUAUCAGAUGCUUACCCUCGCCGCUCAUCGUUUUUUUUUUUUGUCUUUGUGGCUGGUGCGUAGGCCAUGCGCUCCUUUUCCCAUCCAUCCGCGUCCUGCAUAUCGCCUUUGCCUCCUUUUCACCGUCGCUCUGCAG
rnacentral:misc_RNA from 1 species